GGAGGGUACUCUGGAGAAUCCCAUUCAAUUGGGUGCCGAAGGUGCAAGGCGCGGCUGCGCUGAAUCUCUCAGGCAAAAGGACGGAGCUGACAAG
rfam:Firmicutes bacterium CAG:176_63_11 Ley3_66761_scaffold_2357, whole genome shotgun sequence.